GUGACGUUAGACGACAGAGCUGGCGGUGAUCUGAACAUUAUUAAAACCUCGUCUCACUUCCACCUAUCCCUGCUCAACUGGAACACCCAGGCUGUCCAUUCUCUCACUUUUCUCUGUCCUACUUCUGGUCAGAAGGAAGUGUACGAAGUACUGAUAACACCCUCAGAACCCGACCUAACUCCACCUCCCAUCAAACUGGAGUUUUCCGAACUUAUCAGCACUCUCCUCCCCACUGUCGUCCUGGGACUCCUCGUCCUUCUAAUCGUCAUUGGGAUCGUCUUCCUAACCACCGCCAGCUACAGACGUCUCAAAUCCACUUCGUCUCAGUGGGACUCGCCCCUAACUAUGAACUCAA